rnacentral:misc_RNA from 1 species
UGGUUCUGGCAUCGAUGAAGAACGCAGCGAAAUGCGAUAAGUAAUGCGAAUUGCAGAAUUCCGUGAGUCAUCGAAUCUUUGAACGCAUAUUGCGCCCCCUGGUAUUCCGGAGGGCAUGUCUGUCCGAGCGUCAUUACACCGAUCAAGCCCGGCUUGCGGUUGGGGUUCCCGUUCGCGGUUUCCCCAAAAGACAGCAGCGGCGCUGGGGAGUCCGUGAUGCAGCGAGCCUCUGGCACGUGUCGCGGCGCUCCCGGGCCCGUGUUCAACCCUCUUAGGUUGACCUCGGAUCAGAUAGGAUUACCCGCUGA